AGCCUUAGGAAUAUAUCUAAGGUCAAGCCUGCCCAAUGUAAAAAUGAAUGGCCGCAGUACCUUGACUGUGCGAAGGUAGCGUAAUCAGUUGGCUUUUAAAUGGAGUCUUGUAUGAAAGGAAUAACGUGGUAAAGCUGUCUCUAUUUUGUUUUAUCGAAUUUUAUAAGAGGGUGAAAAUUCCUUCGUUAUGAAAAAAGACGAGAAGACCCUUAGAGUUUUUAUUAGAAUCUACUUAGUAGACAAAAUUUUUGUUGGGGCGACAAGGAAACAGAAUAACUUUCCUUUAUUAUACUAACUAGACGGCUUUAUCAAGCAUGUUUAAACUACCUGAGGGAUAACAGCAUAAUUCUUUUUGAGUUUGUGACCUCGAUGUUGGACUAGGAACUUAAUAGACUAGCCGUCUAUAUUUGUGGCUCUGUUCGAGCUUAACUCCU
rnacentral:rRNA from 1 species